CCGGUGUCCCCAGGCAGUGUAGGCUUCGGGACCCUCGGCGCCGGCCACCAGGGGCCCUGGGCCAGUUCUAGGGCUCUGGUGCCGGGCUCAGGGGCUCGAGGAGAUCAGAGGCUCAGGGCUGCGGUUGAGGGUUCAGGGGCAACAUCCUACACCAACCACCACGGCCCUCGGGACCUCUGCCUCAGUUCCUCCACCGUGCUGGCUGCCCUGCCCCCCUCUCCGGCCUUGGUCUGGAGCGGUUGGAGCAGGACGUCCGAGCAGACGACUGAAGAGCCUGGGCCGGGACCAUCCUGGUGCCACACCCGGGGGCGUGGAGCCCACUCGCUGCCUCACCCGCCUUCUAGAACUCCCAAGUCUCUCCACAGGGGAUCUGGUGCUGGAACGCAAGGCGUGGACUCUGGGUCCAGGUGCGCUGGAUUCAAAUGUCGGAUCUGCUACUGCCUGCUCAUGCGACCUGGGCAGGCCCCUGCUCUGUGCCGUCGCCGCGGCAAGACGGUGCUCCUGGUAGGCUUAGGAACCUUACAGCAGCGGCUGUUUCGGGAAAUGACCCAGGACAGAACCUGGCACGUGGUAACUGCACAAAAUAAAUAACUCUUCAGUUUCCCUUUGAUUUCUUCUUUGACCCAUGGUUUAGUUUCUAAAUAUUUGAAGGUUUUCUAAAAAUCUUGUCACUGAUUUCUAGUAUUUCAUUUCAUUGUGGUUGAAGAACAUGCUCUCCAUGAUCCGAAUCCUUU
rnacentral:lncRNA from 1 species